CCAAACAGGUUCUCAAUCUUUACUUAUCUAUUUUAUAUUUGAUAAUAGGAUUGAGAUUAAAUUAUUAUCAACCAAUUACCAUGCUUCUAGCUAACACUAGUGUUCUUAACACGUUAUGUGCUCAGAAAACCAGUGCGUGAGGGCGGACGUCCUCACCCACCCUGGAUGGUGCCAAAGUGACUUUAGUCGGCAUAAGAACAAACAACUAAAUGGGUCUCCUUAGCCUUUUGUUAGCUUCGGGGGCAUCUAGAUGAGGAAGUCGAUUCAGAACACGCAAGAAAAGGGUUGAUGGAAGUGCAUUUGAUUGGGACGCUAGUGAGUUAAUGAGCACUGUUUGCAUGGUUCCAUCAACUCAUUCCAAAGUACUUCCCCCAUGCGCCCCAUUUCGGAACAAGCUCUUGGUGAAAAAGACUGGCGUGUAGUCCGAAAAGCGCCUAUGGAAGAUCAAAGAUUCUCCGUCGUAGUUAUUUCCUUUUUCUUGAGAAAGCUCUGCCGAGUAAGGGAAUGCUCGUGUAGUCGACACUUGCACUAAAAAUGAA
rnacentral:lncRNA from 1 species